AAAGAGGAAGGACAGUCUCAGUUUAGUUAGCCUCAGGAAAUUAGCCUCAAGAAAUCAACUAAGAAAAGUGGUAAGAAGGGUUAAGGAAAUCUUAAAAGUUACUGACGAGUUCCUUGCCCAAGAAGCAGUCAGUGGUCUAGUGUGGUCUGGAGAAGAGCUGCUGCUGGGUUUUUAACCAUACGUAGCUUAGCCCUAGGGAACUUGCAACCUCCUUCUUUGGAAGUGAAUCCAACCCAUUUCUUCCCAAAUCCUCUCGCUAAUCCCUGGAUGUUUACUGAAGCUUCUUCAGGGUAUGACUUUCCUGCCUAGAGGAAAAUCAAUAUAUUAUCUAAAUCAGGGCUACCUAUUAAAUGAUGAAAAGAACUCAAAAUAUCUUUCUCCCCACCACCCAAGUAAGAAAGCUCUGUUUUUCUACAGAACCACUAUAUGAGUUCCUUUCAAGCACAGUACAUAUGAGAAAACCAUUGUCGGUUUUUUCCAAAUAAGAAGGUCAAAUAAUUCUAUAAAAGAUUACUGAAUUUCCAAUGCUUUGUGAGAAGUUUCAAUGAACAAGAGUUACAAUUUUAAUACUAACAGAAUUUCAACGAGAAACACAUCCUUUGUUGAUGCACACAAGAUUCCAAAUCGAAGAGCUUUUAGAGGGUGGAAACAAGCCUACUAACGGGUCAUCCUGGGUCAUUAACUCAAAAGUGUAGAAACUAGAAAGAAAUGAUACACUAAAGGUUUGGUGCCUCCUGGAAUUCCUACCUCUACUGGCACAGGGAACAUGACUAUGAGUAUCCAACUAGCCCUGCCUUCCAAGUGUUCAUUGGCUAGAACUGAAUGCAAGCAGAUGAUGUAAGGUUACGUUAAAUAGAAAAGCAGAAACUAUGAAGUCUGAGAGACACCUAAUAAGGGACACACAGUUUCACAUCUGCUUUGUUGCUUAGCGACCAAGUUCAGCUUCAGAAGAUGGAUACCACAGAAUACGACAAUUCCAAAAAGACCUACCUUUGUGGAAUGAUUCAAGCUUCAGAAUUUUUCACGUUUUAUUAUGACUACUGAGGCUUUUUAUCUAUAUCACUUUAAAUAAAUAUGGCAGAGAGAAAAGAGAUUUUUUUUUAAGUGAUGUGACAGGUCUUGGAUUGGCAAGGCUAUUAUCUCCAAAGAGAAAUCUCGUUUCUUUAGUUUCCUUUCACAGGAAAGUACGAGCAAUAAUAAAAAUAUUUCAAAGCAAAUACAUACUUUGAGUCAUUUCCUUCAAACAAAUUAAAACAGAUAAACUUAGAGAUUACAAAAUGGAAUGUUGUCUUUCACAAACGUGUGCACAUUUUCUCCUUUCUUGUUCUAAGUAGAUCUUAAACUUCUUGGAAUCAUAAACUCUUUUGAGUAUAUUGUGAAAACAGAUCUUAUACCCAGAAAGAUAAAUAGGUGAAACUCAAAGCUAUAUACAUUUAUCAGUGCAUCUUCAAGUUCUAAAAGAAAUCAAGGAGGAUUUUUCCCCAUUUAUAAACACUAUUGAGGUUGAUUUUGUAAAAAUAAUUUUUUAUCCUCUUGG
rnacentral:lncRNA from 1 species